CCCUUAGUAACUGCGAGUGAAGCGGGAAAAGCUCAAAUUUGAAAUCUGGCGGUUCUGCCGUCCGAGUUGUAAUUUAGAGAAGUGUUACCCGCGCUGGACCGUGUACAAGUCUCCUGGAAUGGAGCGUCAUAGAGGGUGAGAAUCCCGUCUUUGACACGGACUACCAGGGCAUUGUGGUACGCUCUCGAAGAGUCGAGUUGUUUGGGAAUGCAGCUCAAAAUGGGUGGUAAAUUCCAUCUAAAGCUAAAUAUUGGGGAGAGACCGAUAGCGAACAAGUACCGUGAGGGAAAGAUGAAAAGAACUUUGGAAAGAGAGUUAAACAGUACGUGAAAUUGCUGAAAGGGAAACGCUUGAAGUCAGUCGCGUCGUUCGGGAUUCAGCUUUAGCUUCUGCUGGGUGUAUUUCCUGUUCGACGGGUCAGCAUCAGUUUUGGCCGGUGGAUAAAGGCUCAGGGAAUGUGGCAUCCUUGGAUGUGUUAUAGCCCUGGGUCGCAUACAUCGGCUGGGACUGAGGAACUCAGCACGCCNCAAGGCCAGG
rnacentral:rRNA from 1 species